rnacentral:rRNA from 1 species
AUGGCGUCUUCAUCUCUGUCAGUGGUGCUGCUCCUUCUGUGCCUGGCCGCGGCGGCGUCGGCGCAGAUGUCCCCGACGUUCUACGACGCGUCGUGCCCCAGGGCGUUGGCCACCAUCAAGAGCGGCGUGGCGGCCGCCGUGAGCAGCGACCCCCGCAUGGCCGCGUCGCUGCUCCGGCUGCACUUCCAUGACUGCUUUGUCCAAGGCUGCGACGCGUCCGUUCUGCUGGCUGGCAACGAGCGGAACGCGUUCGGGAACGUGGGAUCGCCGCGAGGCUUCGACGUCAUCGACAAAAUCAAGUCGAAUGUGGAGUAG